GUGACAACGCGAAAUUGGCUAUUUGGGUUUGAACCCGAGGAAAAUGCGAAGGAGAUAUUAAGUGUUAUUGAGGAAAAUAACACUGAUCAUGAUGAUAAUGCUUCAGGUACACUAAGUUUGGUGGAGCAGUUCCUUACAGAUUAUUGAAAGGCGGUGUCGCAUUGAGGACUAGGAGCAGGAGAUCUAAGGUGGUGAUGGAAGAGGAGGAAGAAGAUGAAAGUGAUGAAAUGAGUUAUACUUCUGAGAAAAUUAAAGAAAAGUGAUGAAAUGAGUUAUACUUUUGCAAUUUCUUAUGCAUAACUAAAAUUUGGAAAAGACUUUUUGUGUAGUUAGGAUUAUUGAUGUUUAUAUUAUUGGUAGGGAAAAAAAUGUAAUGGAUCUAUUUUAAAUUUCGUCUAAACUAUUAAAUGAAAUGAAAGUGGUUUAUCAAUUUCAUAGGUUAA